rnacentral:misc_RNA from 1 species
AUCGCGUUGCCCCCCUGCUAGAUCCUUCUUGGUCGAGAGCGGCGAGCCGAAGCUUCCGCUGUCUACCACUCGGGUUGUUGGGGAUGGCCCAAAUGCGAGUCCAUGGCGGCGGAUGUCACGGCGACUGGUGGACGUACCUAGUGUGCAUAUCUUCGCGUCGUGGCCCCGUCGUUCGCGGGCGAUUGUCCCUUACGAGUCCUUCUAAAGCGACUCUCCGACC